UCAGCCUUUGGCUUAUUUCACUUAGCAUGAUGUUCUCCAGCUCCAUCCAUUUACUGACAAAUGCCAUAAUUUGAUUCUUCUUUCAGGCUGAGUAAUAUUCCAUUAUGUGUAUAUACCAUAUUUUCUUCAUCCGUUCAUUUGUUGAAGGGCAUGUAGGUUGAUUCCAAAGUUUAGCUGUUGUGAAUUGAGCUGCUAUAAACAUUGACGUGGCUAUAUCACUGUAGUAUGCUGAUUUUAAGUCCUUUGGGUAUAAACCAAGGAGUGGGAUAGCUGGAUCCAAUGGUGGUUCCUUUCAAAGUUUUCUGAGGAAUCUCCAUACUGCUUUCCAUAGUGGUUGCACCAAUUUGCAGCCCCACCAGCAAUGUAUGAGUAUACAUUUUCCUCCACAUCCUCGCCAACAUUUAUUGUUGCUUCUCUUCUCUAUAAUUGCCAUUCACACUAGAGUGAGAUGGAAUCUCGGUAUAAUUUUGAUUUGCAUUUCUCUAAUUGCUAGAGAUAUUGAACAUUUUUUCAUAUAUUUGUCAAUUGUAUUUCUUCUGUGAAGUGUCUCUUCAGUUCCUUAGCCCAUUUAUUGAUUGGGAUGCAUCCUGGGAUGAACUCCGCUUGAUCAAGGUACACUAUCUUUUUAAAAUGUUUUAGUAUGCAGUUUGCCAGAAUAUUAUUGAAAAUUUUUGCACAUCUGUUUAUCAGGGAUAUUGGUCUGAAAUUUUCUUUCCUUAAUUUGUCUGUCUGGUUUUGGUAUCAGGGUGAUACUAGCCUCUUAGAAUAAGUUUGGAAAGGUUUCCUCCUUUUCUAUUUUAUGGAAUAAUUUAAGGAGUAUUGAUGUUAAUUCCUCUUUGAAGGUCUUGUAGAACUUGGCUGAGAAUCUGUCUGGUCCUGGGCUUUUUUCAGUUGGUAGGCUUUUGAUGGUAUCUUCUAUUUCCUUGCUUGAAAUUGAUCUGUUUAAAUUGUGUGUGUCCUCCUGAUUCAUUUUGGGUAAGUGAUAUGUCUCUAGAAAUUUGUCGAUGUCUAAAAGAUUUUCUAUUUUAUUGAAGUAUAAAUUUUCAAAAUAGUUUCUAAUUGUCUUCUAUAUUUCAGUAGUGUCUGUUGUGAUGUUUCCUUUUUCAUCAUGAAUUUUAAUAACUUGAGUUUUCUCUUUUUCUUCAUUAGUGUGGCUUAAGUGUUUAUCAAUUUUACUUAUUUUUUUCCAAGAAACAACUUUUUGUUUUGUCGAUUUUUUUUGAAUUGUUUCUUUUGUUUCCAUUUCAUUGAUUUCAGCUCCGAUUUUUAUUAUUACCUGUCUUAUGCUUUUGGUGUUGAUUUUUCUUUUUCUAGGGCUUUGAGAUGUAAUGUUAAGUCAUUUAUUCAUUGACUUUGUAUUCUUUUAAUGAAUAAGCUUAAUGCAGUGAACUUUCCUCUUAGGAGUGCCUUCGUAGUGUCCCAAAGGUUUUGAUAUGUUGUUUUGGUGUUCUUAUUUACCCCUAAGUAUUUUUUUUUUAUUUCAUCCCUGAUUUCUUAUUCAAAUAGCAUAUUAUUUAGUCUUCAAAUGUUGGAGUAGCUUCUAUUUUAUAAUUUUAUCAUUGAUUUCUAAUUUCAUACCACAAUGAUCUGAUAGAAUGCA
rnacentral:lncRNA from 1 species